rnacentral:rRNA from 1 species
UUCCAGACUCCUACGGGAGGCAGCAGUGAGGAAUAUUGGUCAAUGGGCGAGAGCCUGAACCAGCCAAGUCGCGUGAGGGAGUACUGCCCUAUGGGUUGUAAACCUCUUUUGUCGGGGAGCAAAAGCCGGACGUGUCCGGCUGUGAGAGUACCCGAAGAAAAAGCAUCGGCUAACUCCGUGCCAGCAGCCGCGGUAAUACGGAGGAUGCGGGCGUUAUCCGGAUUUAUUGGGUUUAAAGGGUGCGCAGGCGGCGUGUUAAGGCAGGGGUAAAGGCCGGGGGCUCAACCCGGGCGAGCCGUUGAAACUGGCGGGCUGGAGUUGGAGAGAAGUACGCGGAAUGCGCGGUGUAGCGGUGAAAUGCUUAGAUAUCGCGCAGAACCCCGAUUGCGAAGGCAGCGUACCGGCUCCACACUGACGCUGAGGCACGAAAGCGUGGGUAUCGAACAGGAUUAGAUACCCCCGUA